GCUCCAGAACCUUCUGCCGCUCACACCACAUCUCAUUCACUCGGCUAUUGCUUACUGUGUACCCGUUCAGUUCCAGCUCUGGGAACACAAAGUCCACAGGCAAAGCCACAUUCCAAGUCUCACAGAGUCUAGAAGGCAGAGACGUCAACUUACGCGAAGAGACACUGGGUCAACCCACCAUGCAACCAAGACCGGUCUUGGUGUGGCUGGUGUUAUCCCAGAGAGAUGCAAUUGCCAUAAGAAGGCAAAGCUGCCCAGAGUCCUCCGCUGCCUGAGGCCCAGCUGGGUGCCACUGGUCACCAGAGAUUGGGAAGCACAAAUGGAUGGACUUUUGCCUGUACCUCUAGACUCCCAUUUUUGCUUUUGCAAGGUUUAAAAUAUUUGGAAACAUCUGAAGAUGAUUGGUAGAACCUUUUACUUUAGGCUGCCUCUUGCUUAAUGGAUCCCUACAAGAGAUUAAGAAAUGGCUGAUCCCCCUGCCUUGGUGUGAGCCUUCAUCAAGGACCUGUUGUCCUCAGUCUCAGAGAUGCCCUGCCUGCCGGAAGGGCUAAGGUGGGAACAAGAGCUUUGUCGGCUGCCUCCCUGCUGCCACCUGAACUGCAUUAAUUUGUUCUGCGCUGGUUACAGGCAUAUUACAAAGCUUUGUCGUUAAA